rnacentral:hammerhead_ribozyme from 1 species
AGCCGGAUGACGAGUCCCAAAUAGGGCGAAAUGCGAGUUAUUCCGGAU